rnacentral:rRNA from 1 species
AAUCAACGCUGGCGGCGUGCCUAACACAUGCAAGUCGAACGCGAAAAUGGAGCAAUCCAUGAGUAGAGUGGCAAACGGGUGAGUAACACGUGGGUGACCUGCCUUCGAGUGGGGGAUAACGUCCCGAAAGGGACGCUAAUACCGCAUAAUAUGCUGUCUUUUAAGAGAGAGACAUCAAAGCCGGGGACCGCAAGGCCUGGCGCUUGAAGAGGGGCCCGCGCCUGAUUAGCUAGUUGGUGGGGUAAUGGCUCACCAAGGCAACGAUCAGUAUCCGGCCUGAGAGGGCGGACGGACACACUGGGACUGAGACACGGCCCAGACUCCUACGGGAGGCAGCAGUGGGGAAUUGUUCGCAAUGGGCGCAAGCCUGACGACGCAACGCCGCGUGGAGGAUGAAGAUCUUCGGGUCGUAAACUCCUUUCGAUCGAGACGAAUGGCCCUUGGGAUAAUACCCUGAGGGAGUGACGGUACCGAGAGAAGAAGCCCCGGCUAACUCCGUGCCAG